CACAACUCCUUGUGGAAGUACAUCCUGGAGGGGUGACUGGGCGCAUACCACUUUCCGCUCCAGCCUGAGCAGUGAAUGAAACUCAAGUCUCCUGGGGCUACCGGGUUACCUCUUCCACAGAUUCGUGGUCUUUAGAGAAAUUUAUGAGAACGCCAUGUCAGACAUCAAAGAGCUGUUGAAGUUGUCAAAUUUCAGGCUUAAAAGAACUGCGAGAGAUGCCAAAGCCAAGUUUGUUCUGUUCACAUUGUGUAGCCGCUAAUGAAAUAAAAUACCAAGGAGGCAAAGGGAGAACAGAGAGACAGCAGGCAAAAAUAAUUCCUGAACACAGCAGAUGGCAUAAGAACCUUGUCAAGAGAAUCUUAGUUUUAAAGCUCAGAUAACAGCAUCAUAAAUGUAGUUACAAUUCAAGCUGAGUGUCCAGAAUAGGGACA